rnacentral:rRNA from 1 species
AUAUUACUCAGCGGAGGAAAAGAAAACAACCGUGAUUCCCUCAGUCAGCGGCGAGCGAAGAGGGACCGGACCCGUUGCCGAAUCGGGCCUCACAUGGCCUUGAGUUGUGGCAAGAACGCCUCUCUGUGACUGGUGCGGGAAUGGCGAAAUUCAACCGCAAAGCAAACCCAUUGCUGAACACAACCCUUCAUGUGAGUAUUGAGCCAAAGAAGGUGUUAGCCCAUUGAGCCAUGAACCCGAGCACCUCACCGAGGGGCACCAAGAGAGUAGCACUGUUUGGGAAUGCAGUGUCAAGCGGCAGGUAUGUGUCUGCCAAGGUUAAAUACAGAGUAGGAAGACCGAUAUCGAACAAGUAGCGUGAGCGAAAGUUUGAAAAGCACUUUGGAAAGAGAGUGACAUAGAACCUGAAGUCGUGACAACGAUAAUGAAAGUACCUCCAUUUCAACGGCCAAAUCCAACCUCGCAGCAUUCUCCGCGCGGGCGUCAAAAAUCCGCGCGGCAAAAAACAAAGUGCAAGACUGAGGGCUACUGGUGAAAUGGGCGGGGCUACUGGGCCGGUGGCACUCUCUUCACCGAGAGCGAGCCUCGCCGGCCCUCCCCGUGAUGCUCCAUGUUGGCGAUGGAAAUGGGGUGCCUUCA